rnacentral:misc_RNA from 1 species
GAAAUGCGAUAAGUAGUGUGAAUUGCAGAAUUCAGUGAAUCAUCGAAUCUUUGAACGCACAUUGCGCCCCUCGGCAUUCCGUGGGGCAUGCCUGUUCGAGCGUCAUCUACACCCUCAAGCUCUGCUUGGUGUUGGGCGUCUGUCCCGCCUCCGCGCGCGGACUCGCCCCAAAUGCAUUGGCAGCGGUUCCUUGCCCCCCUCUUUGCGCAGCACAUUGCCAUUCGAGGCGGCGGCGGCCCGCGUCCAACAAGCUCAACCCCCCCGUCUUUGACCUCGGAUCAGGUAGGGAUACCCGCUGAACUUGAGC